rnacentral:misc_RNA from 1 species
UAGAGUUUUCUAAACUCCCAACCCUUUGUGAACUUACCUUUGUUGCCUCGGCGGGGCCUACCCGGUACCGACCCCUUUUGGGCGAAGUUACCCUGUAGCCCGCCGGUGGACCACUAAACUCUUGUUAUUUUAUGUAAUCUGAGAGUCUUAUUUUAAAUAAGUCA